rnacentral:rRNA from 1 species
CCUACGGGUGGCAGCAGUGAGGAAUAUUGGUCAAUGGGCGGAAGCCUGAACCAGCCAAGUAGCGUGCAGGAUGACGGCCCUACGGGUUGUAAACUGCUUUUAUACGGGAAUAACGCGCCUUACGUGUAGGGCUUUGCAUGUACCGUAUGAAUAAGGACCGGCUAAUUCCGUGCCAGCAGCCGCGGUAAUACGGAAGGUCCGGGCGUUAUCCGGAUUUAUUGGGUUUAAAGGGUGCGUAGGCCGCAUGUCAAGCCUGCUGUGAAAUGUCCGGGCUCAACCCGGGCCGGGCGGGGGGAACUGGCGGGCUUGAGGCAGCGGAAAGCAGGCGGAAUUCGUGGUGUAGCGGUGAAAUGCUUAGAUAUGACGAAGAACCCCGAUUGCGAAGGCAGCUUGCUGCAGCGGAACUGACGCUGAUGCUCGAAAGCGCGGGUAUCGAACAGGAGUAGAUACCCUGGUAGUC